GCCUGGGUGGCUCAGUCAGUUGAGCAUCUGACUUCAGCUCAGGUCAUGAUCUCACCAUUUGUGGGUUCAAGUCCACAACAGGCU
rnacentral:tRNA from 1 species